rnacentral:snoRNA from 3 species
CCAUGGUUGUGAUGAUAAACACUUUCAACAAGCAUGCUAGUUCCGCUUCUGAAAAUUCAUGACUGAAAAACCUGUUAUACAAGAUCUGUUU